UCCCUAGUAACUCAGUUGGUAAAGAACCUUCCUGCAAUGCAGGAGACCCGGGUUCGACCCCUGGAUUGGGAA
rfam:Ovis aries breed Texel chromosome 9, whole genome shotgun sequence.